UUUAUUGUCCUGGGCCAGGUUGUUCAAAGACUGAUUAAGCUAACCCAGGGUUAGCAAGAAUUUUGAUUGCAGUUUUGUAACCUUUUGGUGAGGUGUUCUGUCUACAUUGUUUGCUCUUC